AGGUGCUUGCACCUUUCAAGCGAGUGGCGAACGGGUGAGUAACACGUGGAUAACCUGCCUCAAGGCUGGGGAUAACAUUUGGAAACAGAUGCUAAUACCGAAUAAAACUUAGUAUCGCAUGAUACAAAGUUGAAAGGCGCUACGGCGUCACCUAGAGAUGGGUCCGCGGUGCAUUAGUUAGUUGGUGGGGUAAAGGCCUACCAAGACAAUGAUGCAUAGCCGAGUUGAGAGACUGAUCGGCCACAUUGGGACUGAGACACGGCCCAAACUCCUACGGGAGGCUGCAGUAGGGAAUCUUCCACAAUGGGCGAAAGCCUGAUGGAGCAACGCCGCGUGUGUGAUGAAGGCUUUAGGGUCGUAAAGCACUGUUGUAUGGGAAGAAAUGCUAGAAUAGGGAAUGAUUCUAGUUCGACGGUACCAUACCAGAAAGGGACGGCUAAAUACGUGCCAGCAGCCGCGGUAAUACGUAUGUCCCGAGCGUUAUCCGGAUUUAUUGGGCGUAAAGCGAGCGCAGACGGUUGAUUAAGUCUGAUGUGAAAGCCCGGAGCUCAACUCCGGAAUGGCAUUGGAAACUGGUUAACUUGAGUGUUGUAGAGGUAAGUGGAACUCCAUGGGGUAG
rnacentral:rRNA from 1 species